GGUGGCUCAGUGGUAGAGCACUUGCCUUGCAUGCACGAGGCCCUGGGUUCGAUUCCAGUACCA
rnacentral:tRNA from 1 species